CCCUAAAGUUAGUAUUGGUUUUAACGCGACCCGAACUCCUGCAUUGGUUAAAAUACUUUUUACUAAAAGUAUUAGUAGUAUUUUUAGUAAAAAGUAUUUUAACCAAUGCAGGAGGUCGGGUCGCGUUAAAACCAGUACUAACUUUAGGG